CACGGGAAGAGGAGGAGGAGGAGGAGGAAGAGAGAGAAAGACAGAACUAAAAACCCUUGAAGGAUGGCUCUCCAAAAUUGCUGGCGGAAGCACGGGGAAUCCCUGGCAGCGCGGGAGCGGAGCUACUUUCUGGAUUUAUCUUGAAUGAGAAGAGAAGCUACUGAAUUAACACCCAGGCAGAAAGUGUCCUGUGUUUGAUGCUACAGUUCAGAAGUCCUUCAUAAAUGGCUUUGAUCUGGAGAGUUUGUACUGACUUUUUCUGAAUAGGAACCAUCUCCCCUGCUCCACUCAUCGGCACCAGAUCCUGCGACAUCUCUUUUCCACAGUGAGGUAGGAUAACCUUGCCAAAGAGGAAAGGAAUUUGGACAGACUUAACAUCCAGGCUGUGCAAGCUUCCAUGAGCUGGACACUAAAAUGAAGAGAGAGUUUAUUCAUUCCCAUCUCAACACAGCCCACCAGAAUUAAAAGACAUUUUAACCUACAAAGGAGAUUGGGUCUAACACCUCUCAGCCUGCCUACAUAGAGAAGGCUGUUCAAUUCCUCUGGCCACCAAGUCUCCACAUUUCUGUGUUGGAUGUGAAGAGUAAAGGGAAUCUGGCAGGAAUCAGGAGGCAUCCAAGUCAGCGGAAGAGACAGCACCAGGUAGAGGCUUGAUUCCUUUCUCCUAAUAUUCUUGCAGUAUGCAGUAUAUGCAUUAUUUCUUCUCCUCCCCUUGAACUUUUGUUUAUUCCUCUUCUCCACAUCAGUGGAGUCUCUGUAUUUGUACUUCUGGAGCAGGUGGCAUGGUUGGAAUAUCAGAGCAGUAUGUAUUAGAGUGAAACCUACAGACAGAAAUAGAAAGUAAAUGGAAGAUGAAUUGAUCAGAGGAAAGGCAGAGGAUGGAGGGGAUAAAGUAAAGGCG